AAGAAAGUAAAGAAGGGCGCAUGGCGGAUGCCUUGGGUCUCGGAGGCGAAGAAGGACGUGAUAAGCUGCGAUAAGCUACGGUAAGGAGCAAAUAUCCCUUGACCCGUAGAUUUCCGAAUGGGGCAACCCGGCUGACAGAAGGUCAGUCAUAUCAGUAAUGAUAGGCGAACGUGGGGAACUGAAACAUCUAAGUACCCAUAGGAGAAGAAAACAAAAGU
rnacentral:rRNA from 1 species